rnacentral:rRNA from 1 species
YCUGGUUGAUUCUGCCAGUAGUCAUAUGCUUGUCUCAAAGAUUAAGCCAUGCAUGUCUAAGUAUAAGCAAAUUUAUACCGUGAAACUGCGAAUGGCUCAUUAAAUCAGUUAUCGUUUAUUUGAUAGUACCUUACUACUUGGAUAACCGUGGUAAUUCUAGAGCUAAUACAUGCUAAAAGCCCCGACUUCGGAAGGGGUGUAUUUAUUAGAUUAAAAACCAAUGCCCUUCGGGGCUCUUUGGUGAUUCAUGAUAACUUAACGAAUCGCAUGGCCUUGUGCCGGCGAUGGUUCAUUCAAAUUUCUGCCCUAUCAACUUUCGAUGGUAGUAUAUGGGACUACCAUGGUUUCAACGGGUAACGGGGAAUUAGGGUUCUAUUCCGGAGAGGGAGCCUGAGAAACGGCUACCACAUCCAAGGAAGGCAGCAGGCGCGCAAAUUACCCAAUCCCGACACGGGGAGGUAGUGACAAUAAAUACUGAUGCAGGGCUCUUUUGGGUCUUGUAAUUGGAAUGAGUACAAUUUAAAUCCCUUAACGAGGAACAAUUGGAGGGCAAGUCUGGUGCCAGCAGCCGCGGUAAUACCAGCUCCAAUAGCGUAUAUUAAAGUUGUUGCAGUUAAAAAGCUCGUAGUUGAACCUUGGGCCUGGCUGGCCGGUCCGCCUCACCGCGUGCACUGGUCCGGCCGGGUCUUUCCUCCUGGGGAGCCGCAUGCCCUUCACUGGGUGUGUCGGGGAACCAGGACUUUUACUUUGAAAAAAUUAGAGUGUUCAAAGCAGGCCUAUGCUCGAAUACAUUAGCAUGGAAUAAUAGAAUAGGACGUGUGGUUCUAUUUUGUUGGUUUCUCGGACCGCCGUAAUGAUUAAUAGGGAUGGUCGGGGGCAUCAGUAUUCAAUUGUCAGAGGUGAAAUUCUUGGAUUUAUUGAAGACUAACUACUGCGAAAGCAUUUGCCAAGGAUGUUUUCAUUAAUCAGGGAACGAAAGUUAGGGGAUCGAAGACGAUCAGAUACCGUGCCGGUAGGUACAUUCAGAUUCAAGUUAAUUCUUUAAGCUUACAAUAUUCUAGACCAAAUGGUAAAAGA